rnacentral:rRNA from 1 species
GCCCAAGAGUUCAUAUCGACGGCGGUGUUUGGCACCUCGAUGUCGGCUCAUCACAUCCUGGGGCUGAAGUCGGUCCCAAGGGUAUGGCUGUUCGCCAUUUAAAGUGGUACGCGAGCUGGGUUUAGAACGUCGUGAGACAGUUCGGUCCCUAUCUGCCGUGGGCGUUGGAUGAUUGAGUGGAGUUGCUCCUAGUACGAGAGGACCGGAGUGAACGAACCGCUGGUGUUCGGGUUGUCAUGCCAAUGGCAUUGCCCGGUAGCUACGUUCGGAACGGAUAACCGCUGAAAGCAUCUAAGCGGGAAGCCGGCCACAAGAUGAGUCAUCCCUUAGACUUCAAGUCCACUAAAGGGUCGUUGGAGACCACAACGUUGAUAGGUGAGGUGUGGAAGCGUGGUGACACGUUAAGCUAACUCAUACUAAUUGCCCGAGAGGCUUAACCA